CUCCGGGCCUGGCUCCAAGGCCGCCUCCCGGAACCCCCAGCACAGCCCUCUCUCCCCUGGCCCCGGCCUGCUCCUGCAGAGCUGAAUGUCGUCUGCCUCGGGACCCGCGCCCCUUCCUCCCCCAUCGAAAGCCAGAAACAAACGCCUUCCUGCUGACGAUGUCAUUGUUCGCCUUCUCUUUCUCAUCAAUACCCAUUGCCUUCGUCUCCUAAUUGCAACACUGUUUGGACUUCUGCCCUAAUCAGCCCAUCCCAAAUAGCUAUUCUUAUUGAUCUCAAAUAAAUGCUUUUAGCUUCUCA